UAAUGUGUUUGCGUAAAAAUUGGUUUCUUUAGCAACUGAUAAAACAAUAAGAUAGUUUAUUUUAUUUUACAACACGAUCAUGAUGAACGGAAUUAUUGUAUCAAGAGUUACAAAUAUACUGCUUGUAAGAAAUGUACAAAAGAUAUGUUUCUAUAAAACUCUAUUAUUACAAAAAUCAUUCAACACAAAUCAAUUACUCCCUUUCUACAAGGAGACCAGCAAAACAUUUCAGAAAUUUAAAUUGAAGCAAGCAAGGAUGCAGUGUGAUGACGGUCUUCCUGUUUAUUUAAAGGUCGGCAUACGCGAUAAAAUAUUGUUUAACAUUACGUUAAUUAUGCUUUUAUGUAAUACAAUCGGAUCGAUCUAUACAAUCAGGGAGUUUUUGAGAAAAUCUUAAUCUUACAUGUAUUUAUAUUAUAAUAACAUAUUCUUCUUUUUCUAAUUGCGCAUAUCGUGUGAAAUAAAUAUGUUAAGAUAUUGAUAGAAGUGUUUUCGGAAUUUGUAAAUUAAACAAUUUCAGUUUACAUAAAACAUUGCACACACACUUAUACAUAUCCUAUAAAAUAUA